UACGUAGGGUGCGAGCGUUGUCCGGAAUUAUUGGGGCGUAAAGGGCUCGUAGGCGGUUUGUCGCGUCGGGAGUGAAAUCCACUGGCUUAACUGGUGGCUUGCUUUCGAUACGGGCAGACUGGAGGUAUGCAGGGGAGAACGGAAUUCCUGGUGUAGCGGUGAAAUGCGCAGAUAUCAGGAGGAACACCGGUGGCGAAGGCGGCAUCCUGGACCGACACUGACGCUGAGGAGCGAAAGCGUGGGGAGCAAACAGG
rnacentral:rRNA from 1 species